GAGGAUAUAGCUCAAAGUGGUAGAGCACAUGCUUAGCAUGCACGAGGUCCUGGGUUCAAUCCCUAGUACCUCCU
rfam:Camelus ferus unplaced genomic scaffold scaffold1857, whole genome shotgun sequence.